rnacentral:lncRNA from 1 species
GAACAUCAAGGAAAAAGUCUCAUUUUCCCCUUAAAACAAGUCAUCCUACUAAAAUAACAAUAGCAACAUGUAACACAUAUAAACUUCCAAAUUCCAACAAAACAAAUGUUUACAUAUUUGCAUUUACAACCAUAUACCCAUCAUCAACAUGCACAUCAUCCCAUCAUCAUCAUCUCAUAUACAACGACUUAUGCUAUUGUCACUAGGGGAUGGGAGAUCACGAAGCAUCCCCCCCCCUUCACUCGGCAAGAGGUGCACUUCACUCCGGAUCACGAAGCAACGGAGCAGUCACUUCCCUCAUUUUCCAAGCUUCCCCCCCUUCACUCGGCAAGAGGUGCACUUCACUCCGGAUCACGAAGCAACGGAGCAAUCCCUUCCCUCAUCUUCCAAGCUCCUGGGCGGAGAGUCAUACUUCGCCACAGAUCAUACCUAUCAAAGCACUCAUAGGGUGGAAGAUCACGAAGCGUCCAGCCCUAUAAGCUACGGAGGCAACAACAGCUUAUGUGCACUCCCACUCACACAUAGCCGGGUCAGCAACGGCUUAUGUGCACUCUUACUCGCACAUAGCCGGGUCAGCAACGGCUUAUGUGCACUCCUACUCGCACAUAACCGGGUUCAAAUCAACAUGUAAAAAAACAUCCAAUGCAUAUCAUGCAUUUUAUCAUAUUGUGAUAACACAUAAACCAUUGUAUAACACAUUUUCACAAUAUAAAAUCAUUUUACUAAAAGCUUGUUCCCAAGGUACAUUUUCUAAGACAAGUUGGAUAGAAUCUUUCAUAUUCCCCAAACCAAGUUUGAAAUGCAAGUCCACUCACCUGUAUUAGGAGUAGAAAUACUCAUAUUUUUAGUCUGCGGUUACAGUCUUUUACCCAUAUCCAAUAGCUCACCACCUAGCCAUAAUCCAUGACACAUAUUCCAAUUAAAUUGUGUCUAACAGUCAUAAGCUAUUUCAGGCUCGAUAUAUAUAUGAUAUGAAAUGAAAAAUGCACAGGUAGCCAUCUAGAGCCGGUAGUGGCCUAAGUCGAUUUUUCAUAUGAUAAAUUGGCCAAUGCGUCCAAUUUCACUCCAAAUUAAUCCAUUUCUCCUCUAAUACCUUAAUUUACCACAUACCAUUUAAAUAAAGCCAAAUUCAGCAUUAGAACCCUCACAGUUCCUUAUAGAAAAAUUUGGUCAUUUGAUGCACUAGCACCGAAAAUUUUUCUACAUAACCGUUUCACCUUAAUUCAUCAUUUUUCAAGCCAUUUUCCUUGAAAUAAAAACAAGCCCCCAUUGAUAUUCAGCCCUCAUGGUUCGACCAACAAGGAACCCUAGAGAAAUUGAAUAUUUCUUUUGUGUUUUUGUUCAUAACCAUGCUUAACUAUCCCUAAACACUAAUAUAGUCUAAAAUCAAAUUAUUCCAACAACAAUUCCUCUUCCAUACCCAUUUUUCAGAAUUGAAUUCAUCAUGAUAACUCAAUAUUCAACAAUGAAAAUCAAGAACAAAAGCAUGGGUAAGCUAGGUAUCAAGGAGAAUUAAAGAAAUUUUAACUUACCUAGCUUGUUUCCUUGAAUUCCAACACUUUCUCUUUGAUUUUUCGCACCUAGGGCUUGUUCUUCCUUGGUUUCUC